rnacentral:rRNA from 1 species
CCUACGGGGGACAGCAGUGAGGAAUAUUGGUCAAUGGACGAGAGUCUGAACCAGCCAAGUAGCGUGAAGGAUGACUGCCCUAUGGGUUGUAAACUUCUUUUAUAUGGGAAUAAAAUGUUCCACGUGUGGGAUUUUGUAUGUACCAUAUGAAUAAGGAUCGGCUAACUCCGUGCCAGCAGCCGCGGUAAUACGGAGGGUCCGAGCGUUAUCCGGAUUUAAUGGGUUUAAAGGGAGCGUAGGUGGAUUGUUAAGUAAGUUGUGAAAGUUUGCGGCCCAACCGUAAAAUUGCAGUUGAAACUGGCAGGCUUGAGUACAGUAGAGGUGGGCGGAAUUCGUGGUGUAGCGGUGAAAUGCUUAGAUAUCACGAAGAACACCGAUUGCGAAGGCAGUUCACUGGACUGCAACUGACACUGAGGCUCGAAAGUGUGGGUAGCAAACAGGAUUAGAUACCCGUGUAGUC